UACGUAGGCAGCAAGCGUUGUUCGGAGUUACUGGGCGUAAAGGGUGUGUAGGCGGUUCUUUAAGUUUGGGGUGAAAUCUCCCGGCUCAACCGGGAGGGUGCGCCGAAUACUGAGGGACUCGAGUGCGGGAGAGGAAAGUGGAAUUCCUGGUGUAGCGGUGAAAUGCGUAGAUAUCAGGAGGAACACCGGUGGUGUAGACGGCUUUCUGGACCGUAACUGACGCUGAGACACGAAAGCGUGGGUAGCAAACAGG
rnacentral:rRNA from 1 species